CUGUCCCCACUGAGGCAUCCCACAGUGCCUACAAUAAUUUUGUACGGUGUUCUUGUGCCUUUUCCUAUACAAGAAAAUUUUCCCUUUGAUUUAAUAUUCAAGGUGUACUUGGGUAUAUAUAGGCAGCAUGCGGUGUUAAAAAGUCAGAAAUCAAACGUAGCUCUCCUGGAAGGAAAAAUGCUGUUUCUUUAUUUCUUAUUCUUGAGUUGUUGCUUCUCUGUCUCUAUGGGCAGUGCAAUAGCAGAAUUUCAAGAAAACUUUGAGGAGUUAGCGCGUCUUACAAACAAGGAGGUAGGUCAUUAUCAUUUCCUCUUUUUUUUUUUUACAGUUCUUGUGAUGGAAGUAUCAAAUCGACUAUGGGCUAGCUGCAUCUCUAGUUUGUUUCUCCCGUGUUUUGUUUGUUAAACUUAAAAUGUUGAAGGCACUGAGUGUCAGCCUCUCCUCUGAAGUUGGCACUGCAAUUGUUUCCCCAAAGGAAGUUCAGAAAUAGAAAACCUGAUGAAGAUGAUAUGUAGGUAGAGAUGCUUAACAAUGUGGCAGUUACUUAGAAAUACCUUCUAACACCUCAAUCUCUCUUUCUUUUUUAAUUUUAGCUCUACCUUCCAGUGCCUGGACAGAGAUUUCGGUGCAAUUGUGUUCGCUUUCACCUGGAAGAAACCAUGAAACAGCUGAAUAAAACAGACUUCUUGAAGAGUGACCGGAUGAAAACACUUGUUUUUCUGAUGAAGGAAAAAACAGACCACAUAAUAACAACUUUCCAUAAAACACAUACAGCACCUGAGGAAAGUCGUUUAUGUCGAGUGAAAGAGAAACCUCUGCAGAGUGCCCCAGCGCUCUACAGAAAGUUUUUUCAAUGGCUGCACGAGAUGUGCCAGAAAACGGGCUGAUGGAAACUAGCCACCCUGCUGGUUGAACAUGUGUUUUAUACAACACUAUAGCUAAUUCUGACAGAAUGCUGCAAGGCUGCCACAGAGCACCCCAAAGAGACAAUACAACACGAGCAUGAAUGUUUUAUAUAUGUAUUAUCAGAUAUUUAUUACUGUAUUUCUUACUGCAGCUAUUAAUGUAUUUAUUUAAUUUAUAGAGAGCUUUUUAUUUGUAUGGAGUCAAAAUGUUCAAAGUUAUAAUGAAUAAAAGAACUUUAAGUUAUUAAUUCUAUUGUGGUUUUGUGGUCUAUGAUAAUUUGAAUAUAUGCUAAGGCUUCAAUAAAACAAUGUGAGUUAAAUUACUUUUCCUAAAUAAAGACACAUUUUUUUUAUUUUUUUAUUUUAUUUAUUUUUUUUUUUUAGAAUUUGAAGGAAAUGGUACGUUUGCUGUUGUAUAGCAGUGUACAUUGGUUUCCAAAUGAAAUGUAAAGAGUCUCUAUGUUUGUGAAAUCACCUGUCUGGCUUUUGAGGCAUGAAGUAGCGAGAGUAACUGCCCAGUCUAGUCAUUAGGAAAGUUUUAAGCCAAAGGUACUUAGCAUAUGUAUAUCUUUGGGAAGCAGUAAACCUCAUCAAUGAAG